AAGAUAUUCACCUCCUUAUUUGGGAGAAGAAAAUAUUACUGUCUAUCAUACAUAUACAACUUUCUAUUCUCUUACUUUUCCCAUUCAUCAUUGUCUCCCUCGAUCAUAUAAAAGAAAGCAAGCAAUUAUGCAAAGAAAAAGCUAAUCAAACCCUAAUUACAUACUCGGCCAAGGUUUUCCGGGGUGACGGGAUUUGCAUUAAACACAAGUUUUAUGCAGCAAUUGGAUGCAUCAACCCAUGAUGAAUUCAAAUACUGUGCACUCUGUAACCAAUGUGAUGAUGAUCAAUGGAAGCACUUUGGACAUGGACAUACCCAUUUUGAAAAUAAUCCCCAACAUUAUUAUUUUCUGGAUUAGGGUUAGAACAGCUAGGAAUGCAAUUAUUCAACUUGGAAGAAGAAGGAUUUAGUGGCUUGUGUGUUCUUGGAUCAAUUCCUUGGCUUAUCAACUUCUUGCUGAGACCUGUUGCCGAGGAGUCGGUGGAGGCGGAGAAUGAGAUCUUCCUCGUCGGGGGCGAUCUGGCCUCGCUUAACACAAGGGCGAAGGUAGUUCAUCCACCGAAGGCGACAGCUCUUCCCGCAGCGGAGCAGACCCGCUCUCUUCGGAAGCGUGCGCCACCUUCCUUCGCCUUCUCGAUGUAUGUAAUUCGACAGAAGCUCGUCCUCCUCCGCCGUCCAUGGUCCCCUUUUCAACCCUAUCUUUACACAGCAUGGUGUCUUAGUUGUUGUUGUUCC